ACAGUUUUUUCGUCUAAUAUUUUCAUUUCCAAUUUUACCCUUACUUUUAUUCCAAAAUUUCGAUCGGUUUGCUUAUAUUUUUCUUUUGCUGACAAAUGUUUUGGUCUUUUUAUUUCCACCUCCGUGUUCCAAUGUCUUCGUCACAUCUAUGAACUUAUCACUUCUUCUUUGUUCUUGUUGCCUAUCUGACAUUCACACCCAUUUCUCACAAACCUCUCUCUCUCUCUCUCUCUCUCUCUCUCUCUCUCUCUCUCUCUCUCUCUCUCUCUCUCUCUCUCUCUCUCUCUCUCUCUCUCUCUCUCUCUCUCUCUCUCUCUUAUUCCUCUUCACCGCCACACCCUCGCCUCUAGCAAAGCAAAACAGAGACACCACCGCCUCCGUCAGUGAAGCACGGUCUCUCGCGUCGGAUCUUUGACCCGUGGUUUGAUCAUCCAUCCUCCUUUCCAACCUCAACCCCGCAUGCCUCAGGUCUCAGCCCGACGAAGACGAAGAUGGAGACAAAGGCAGAGAAAUACCAUCCUCCAUCUGAAUGAGAAAUAGAGGGGAAGGAGAAUAUUACUCCGAUUGGCUCAAAGAUCACAAUAAUUUCAACUUCGUGCCUUGUUUUUUAUGUAUUUGUUUAUCAUAACCAAUGUUUCAUUUGUUUGCUUAGGAAAGCCUAAUGGGUUUUUUAUUACUCUGCUUGAUUGAAGUGUUUGGUAGAGUUAAAAAUUUCCUGAAAUGUUUAAUUUUAAAUUGCUCUCACUGCCUUG